UGAUGACCUGUGGGCGGACCAGCAGCGUCACAUAUACUUGCAUCUACAUCUGGAGUGACAGUUUCAUUGCGCAACACUCCCACCUCCAACUCUUCAUACAACUGUCUCAAACUGGUCAUGCCAAACAGAACGUGGACAUCUUCAUCAUGAGCAAACGACGUCUCCUCAUAUUUUCAUUCUUAUUGCUGUGGGUAUCAGGUCUAACUGAUGGGGGGGAAGUCAGGCAGACUGCCAUGCUGUGGAAAAACCAGGGUGAUAAUGUAUCUAUAGAAUGCAGUCAUACCUAUGGCAGUAGCUAUUACCAGAUGUACUGGUACAGACAGCUGCCUGGAGAACUAAUGAAACAAAUGGUGUUAACUACUGCAAGCUCCAAACCUGACUUUGAACCAGACUUCAGGGAUGAAAAAUUCUCAGCCACCAAGCCUGACACUGACAGUGGGACACUGAUAGUGAAGAAUUUGGUGCCAGGAGAUCAAGGCUUGUAUUUCUGUGCUGUUAGUAUGCACAGUGAUACAGCCACACUCAACACCCGUACAAAAACCUCAGAUCAUGAACUGUAG